UACGUAGGUUCCGAGCGUUGUCCGGAUUUAUUGGGCGUAAAGCGAGCGCAGGCGGUUAGAUAAGUCUGAAGUUAAAGGCUGUGGCUUAACCAUAGUACGCUUUGGAAACUGUUUAACUUGAGUGCAAGAGGGGAGAGUGGAAUUCCAUGUGUAGCGGUGAAAUGCGUAGAUAUAUGGAGGAACACCGGUGGCGAAAGCGGCUCUCUGGCUUGUAACUGACGCUGAGGCUCGAAAGCGUGGGGAGCUAAACAGGAUUAGAUACC
rnacentral:rRNA from 1 species